rnacentral:misc_RNA from 1 species
AAAUAAUCCAGGGUUAUUUACGUAGGGUGGUGCACAUUAAAGUACAAAUUAUAAAAGGUGUAGACUAUCUGCUAAGCUUAACCAGCCCCUUAAUAUUAUUACUCCCCCCCCCCCAUACUCACAAAUUCAAAGUAUCAAGAAACACCGGUACCUCACACCUGCAGAUCAUAAUCAGUAUUAUUACCUUCUGCUGUCACUAUCGAUGCCGCUAUUUCUGCCGCGGUUUAAAAUAAAACGGCAACGGUAUUUUGAUGUUCAAACCAAUGAAUUGAUGUGGGUAGAGUGGACUAUCUUUGGUUAAGGCUUU